rnacentral:rRNA from 1 species
UUGAUCCUGGCUCAGGACGAACGCUGGCGGCGUGCCUAACACAUGCAAGUCGAACGAAGUAUGUUUUUCGGAAUAUGCUUAGUGGCGGACGGGUGAGUAACGCGUGAACAAUCUGCCCCGUACAAAGGAAUAGCCUCGGGAAACCGGGAUUAAAACCAUAUAACACUUUAGUACCGCAUGGUACAGAAGUCAAAUUGAUUAGAGGUAUGGGAUGAGUUCGCGUCUGAUUAGCUAGUUGGUAAGGUAACGGCUUACCAAGGCGACGAUCAGUAGCCGGCCUGAGAGGGUGAACGGCCACACUUGGAACUGAGAGACACGGUCCAGACUCCUACGGGAGGCAGGCAGUGGGGAAUAUUGCACAAUGGAGGAAACUCUGAUGCAGCGACGCCGUGGUGAGUGAAGAAGGUCUUCGGAUCGUAAAACUCUGUCCUUGGUGAAGAAAAGGACGUAGCCAAGGAGGAAGCCCCGGCUAACUACGUGCCAGCAGCCGCGGUAAUACGUAGGGGGCGAGCGUUGUCCGGGAUUUACUGGGCGUAAAGGGUGAGUAGGCGGUUGUAUAUGUCAGGUGUAAAAGGCUAUGGCUUAACCAUGGUUAGCACUUGAAACUGUGCAACUUGAGUGCAGGAGAGGUAAGCGGAAUUCCUAGUGUAGCGGUGAAAUGCGUAGAUAUUAGGAGGAACACCAGUGGCGAAGGCGGCUUACUGGACUGUAACUGACGCUGAGUCACGAAAGCGUGGGCAGCAAACAGGAUUAGAUACCCUGGUAGUCCACGCUGUAAACGAUGAGUGCUAGGUGUUGGGUAGCGAUACUCAGUGCCGGAGUAAACACAAUAAGCACUCCGCCUGGGGAGUACGGUCGCAAGACUGAAACUCAAAGGAAUUGACGGGGACCCGCACAAGCAGCGGAGCAUGUGGUUUAAUUCGAAGCAACGCGAAGAACCUUACCAAGGCUUGACAUCCCCUUGACCGGUGCAGAGAUGUACCCUCUCUUCGGGAGCAAGGGAGACAGGUGGUGCAUGUUGUCGUCAGCUCGUGUCGUGAGAUGUUUGGGUUAAGUCCCGCAACGAGCGCGACCCUUAUCCUUAGUGCCAGCAGGUAAAGCUGGGCACCCUAAGGAGACUGCCGAUGAUAAUCGGAGGAAAGGGUUGGGGGGAAUGAAACGUCUCUAAUCCAUCCAUCCCCUUAUGUCUUGGGCUACACACGUGCUACAAUGGUCGGUACAACGGGGAGCGAAGGAGUGAUCCGGAGCAAAUCCCAAUAAACCGAUCCCAGUUCGGAUUGUAGGCUGCAACUCGCCUACAUGAAGUCGGAGUUGCUAGUAAUCGCGAAUCAGAACGUCGCGGUGAAUGCGUUCCCGGGUCUUGUACACACCGCCCGUCACACCAUGGAAGUUGG